rnacentral:lncRNA from 1 species
CGUGAAUCCAGAACCUUCUAUCCUUAUUUCUUUCUGCAGCAUCAGCGUUUUAAUCUAUUGCACUGACAGUAAUAUAUUGGCUUUCAUUCCAGGAUCCUGAUUGUGAAAACCCCAGAUGUAUGAAUGAGGACAGUCACCUUGAGAAGUAUCCCUGAGGUCUGGCAAGGAGAAGCUGCACAAUCUGUGCUGUACCACAGCGGCUGAAGGUUUUGGCUGCCAUCCUCUGCAGGGAAACGAAGGCACAGAGAUGCUAAAGGACACAUCCCAGCUUUAUAAUUUCCUACGUGCUGGAAGUAGGACAGAUGGAUGCUAUUAAAUGCUUAGCAUCACUUUCCCUGGAAGAGAAAAUGAAAUUCAGGAAGGUGGAUCAGGAAACCAGCAUUCUCCUGCCACAGGGAAACAUGGAAAAGUGGAGAACAGGUCAAGCAGGAGAUUUCUUUGGCCUUUUGGAACAUGCCCAGCUACGGAAGGCACUGUCUUAUACUGUGUGGCAUAUCUGGCACAAACAAAUAUUCUCAGUUUAUGCAGCAAAGAAGACAAUCACCUAUGGCAUCCUUUUGCUGCUCUGGAUGUACAGCUACCCAUGCUUCAGAACAGAAAACUCCAGUAUUGCUGCUAACAUACAAGUUAAACAGAGGAAGAACAAACCCAUUGCAACAGCAACAAGAAUCUCUUCAGCAGCUGAGAUCUCUUCACUUGUGGGUAGAAAGCACAGAGAAAUAAAUAUCGCAAGAAUGGCACUAAGGACAAGAUAGACCUAUUUAUAUUUAAUAGAACUUUGUAGACUUCUGUGGCCUGAUUGCAGUGACAUAGUGUGCAAAUGAUAUAAUUUCUUUGGAUUAAAAGGAGUUUCUCUUUUAUUUGGAGUUAGCCAGAAAAAGCUCUGAAAUCACCAGAUUGUACUGCUAUUUAUCGGGAAAAUUCUUAUUGGAAACAUCUGAGUUUAUCCCUUCAGGCAUAGUUAGGCCAUAUGUAGUCAUAGCAUUUCAAAUUUUGCUUGGAGCAUAAAUAUGAGGCUAGACAAUUGAAAGAGAGUUUUUAUACAUCCUUACAAUUUAUGUUUUAGCAUAUAAUGAGCAAGUGUUCCCAUGUAUGAAGAUUAGAUACUUAUUUCCUCUGCAAGCCAAUGGUCAUGGAUUUUCUCAUCAUAAACUGUGUACUUUCAUUUCCUCUCUUGCUCUUUGUAUUCACCUCUCCAUUGUUAAACAAUUAAGUAGAAGAAGCUGUUAAUAUUAUGUUAAAAAAUUCAUCCUAUUUCACGGGUUUUUUCCAGUCUUGUUACACUAUUUUCAUGUGAAAACAUGGAUGAAAACACUUAGCAAAACAAAAGAUGCAAAAUAUCAGAAGUAGGACAUUUGUAGAUAAGCUUCAAAACCUAUUGCCAUAGGAAUUAAAGAAUGAAAACCAUCAACACGUUGUAGCUUCUAAGAGUUUUUUCUUGUAUAUAUAUAUGAACAUUUGUUCUGCUUUCAAGGAUGUAUGUGUAUGAAGCUUUUCUCAAUAAAAAGCAUCAAAAUCAUGCA